rnacentral:rRNA from 1 species
GAAAGCUGGGUGGGCAAGGGUGCGCCAAGUCUUAGUAGCUCCGGGGGAUCUCCUAAACCGACGAGCUGAGCUCUGCGGCGGCGGCGGCGACGCGGCGGAGGAGGGGUUCAGCGGCGCGGUGGGCUGCGGAGCUGCGGCCACUAGAGGAGGCCGUAUGACCUGAAGAGUGACCACCAAGAGUUCGUGGUUUUCUUCGUUGUUAUUUGUUCGACCUCCCUGUUGAAAGAGAGUCUAAGAGUUUCUAUCUACUAGUACUGUGGUUUUCUACCUAUAUAGACAUACGCUUUAAUAUUGACUAGAACUCGAUAAGGUCUUCAUGAACACAACGCAAUAGAAACGACGUUUUAAUACAACCCCGACACUACUUGACAACAACGACGCUUUCUAGUACAACAGUACUAUUUAAUACUAAGGACCCUAAACCCUAAGCUUCGGUA